GAUAAAGAACGUAGCGAAAUGCGAUACGUAAUGUGAAUUGCAAAUUCAGUGAAUCAUCGAGUCUUUGAACGCACAUUGCGCCCCCUGGUAUUCCGGGGGGCAUGCCUGUCCGAGCGUCAUUGCUGCCCUCAAGCACGGCUUGUGUGUUGGGCCCCGUCCUCCGAUCCCGGGGGACGGGCCCGAAAGGCAGCGGCGGCACCGCGUCCGAUCCUCGAGCGUAUGGGGCUUUGUCACCCGCUCUGUAGGCCCGGCCGGCGCUUGCCGAUCAACCCAAAUUUUUAUCCAGGUUGACCUCGGAUCAGGUAGGGAUACCCGCUGAACUUAAGCGUAUCAAUAAGCGGAGGA
rnacentral:misc_RNA from 1 species